UACGGAGGGGGCUAGCGUUGUUCGGAAUUACUGGGCGUAAAGCGCACGUAGGCGGAUUGGAAAGUUGGGGGUGAAAUCCCAGGGCUCAACCCUGGAACUGCCUUCAAAACUCCCAGUCUGGAGGUCGAGAGAGGUGAGUGGAAUUCCGAGUGUAGAGGUGAAAUUCGUAGAUAUUCGCAAGAACACCAGUGGCGAAGGCGGCUCACUGGCCCGAUACUGACGCUGAGGUGCGAAAGCGUGGGGAGCAAACAGG
rnacentral:rRNA from 1 species